rnacentral:tRNA from 1 species
GGGGGAGGAAUGGUAUCACGGAAAAGUGCUAAUUUUUCUAAACCAUGGUUCGACUCUAUGGAUCCCUCAGC